rnacentral:rRNA from 1 species
AAUGAACGCUGGCGGCAGGCCUAAAACAUGCAAGUCGAACGCCCUAGCAAUAGGGAGUGGCGCACGGGGGAGUAACAUGUGGGAAUAUGCCUUUUGGUACGGAACAACGGUGGGAAACGAACGCUAAUACCGUAUGGUACCUCCGGGGUAAAGAUUUAUCGACAAAAGAUUAGACCGAACUAGAUUAGCUAGUUGGGAAGGUAAGGGCUUACCAAGGCGACGAUCUAUAGCUGGUCUGAGAGGAAGAUCAGACACACUGGGACUGAGAGGCGGCGCAGACUCCUAGAGGAGGCAGCAGUUAGGAAUAUUGGACAAGGGGCGCAAGCCUGAACCAGCUAUGCCGCGUGAGUGAUGAAGGCCUUCUGGUUGUAAAGCUCUUUAGCCGACGAAUAUAAUGACUGUAGUCGGAGAAUAAGCCCCGGCUAACUUCGUGCCAGCAGCCGCCGUAACAC